UUUGUAAGUAAUUUAUCCCUUCUCUCUUAUUAAAAUAAAUGUAUAUGUUGGGUAGUCUGUACUACCUGCUGUCAAAUAUCCUUGGCUUUCUGUAUUUAAACCUUGUGUCUUGGCAGUAGGAGAAUUUGACUUCUGAUCAUUGAGCAUCACUAAACUUCCAUACAACUAAUGAAGCAGACUCCUGUUAUGAAGGGCUGUUACGGGGAGCUCUGCAAAUCACAGGUAGUCAAGGACUUCUCGACAUCCCAUGCUCUACCAAGUGCACAAGAAUACCACUGUUUGGAACAAAUGGAUUAUCUGUACCACGAUGCUGCCACUUGGGUGCUGUAAAGCAUCCACAGUGGUAAAGAGGAAUCUGUUGCUUCCUUUGAAAAUCCUCGGACAGAAGAAGCUCUGGUUUGUGUACAAGGUCUAGCAAACCACAUAAUUCUCUGAGGCUUUGUCUCCAACCUUUGCUGCGUUAUAUUGGUCUGGCUGCCAGCUCCAAGUGCUUUGUUUUAUUUGCUGUUUGGUGACUGCUACACUCCAGCCAUCUCCAUGUGUGAGUCAAAAGAAUGCAACAUCAAGCAAGCUAUGCUUUCAAUAGCAUCUUCCAGAAGAACUCGGAUACUUUCAGUCUCUCUGCAUUUGUUUUUUUUGGGUAAGAAAAGAACUGUUGUUUCAAUGAUUAUCUUGAGAAUUUUUAAGUAAACAUGAACAGUUGCAUGAACUGACUUUAUGUCUGUGACCAGUCUUAGUAUGAUACAAUCCAGUGAUCAAGUACAAAAUACACAGCUCAUGCCCGUCUGUCUUUACGUAGCACAUAGUUUUGUCUAGCAGGGUGUAUCAUGCAUAUGUAUUUAAGUAUGUUUAAAUAUUUCCUGGCAGUAUAAGACAGGGCUGUAACAGCUAUCAAUGCUGCAAAUUGCACUGAACAUUUUAUGAACUCAGAAUUUAUGUUGCUGUUUAGUUUUGUUUUGCUUUUCUGCCAUGUGUUUUCUUAGAAAGGCCUCAAGCUGACAAUGUAUCAAGUGAGUUCUAAGUUAACAACUUUAGUGCCUUAUUUUAUAUUUCUAAAAAUUAUGUUGGAGAAUUUAGUACCUGUGAAACUCUAAUAGCUUUAGGGCUAAAUUCAAUACAAGGAUCUAUAGCAGCACAGCUAGCACACACCAUGACAGAAAAAUAAGCUGCAACUCUGUUUUCUCAGAAGGAGUUGCGUAAGUCAAACCCAAGUGCAAAAAUUGUGAGUUUCUGGUAAAUAUAGAGACACAGGAGGCACUGUCCCAUAUGGGCUGCAGAGCUCAUUCAAGCACUCUUCCAGCUGCUGCCAUGUAGGAAAGGAUUCCCGGUCCCUUCCUCCCUGGCUUAUUUUGGAGAAGAGGCUUUCUGGAUGUAGGCACCUCAGCUGUCACAGGAGAGUGUAACUAAUAUCUCUCCAAAUGACUAUAUAGCUUGACUAUAGCCUAACUCCACAGCACAGAUCUUCCUCACCUACCACCUCCAUAUUGGCUAGCAGCAUAACUGCUUUUCUGGCCAUGUUUGUCCCAAUCGAGUAACAAAACAAGUGGCAGAUGUGUAAUAACCCUUGUAAAUAUAUAUAUAUAUAUAUAUAUAUAUGGAGACUAUAAAUCCCACAAUAUCAUUUGCAUGUCUGAGAUCAUCUGACCUUCAUAGAUCUGACAUAAUGCACUGUUAUUUCAUACCCUAUUGGUUUUAUUUUUUGUGUAGCAGAUGUUUCUUGCUUGUUGUCUGUGUGAAGGUCUAGCACAUGGGAUUCUGAAAACAAAGGUUUCAUCAAUUCACACACGCUUGAAGUAGUUGUAUUUUUACACUUCUUGCUGAGCACAUAAUGGAUGCAAAUUCCCUGCUUCACCAUGUAGGAAAACGGCUUACACAAAGAGUUUUCUCUCUCUCUGUAGUGUAUUUCAACAAAGCCAGCUCUCUGCUUGCUCUUUUACCCAAUUUACUACCCUCUUGCCCAUGAGAAAAGACCGGGGAAGCUACCUUUCUUGCAGUUUUUAUUGCAUUUGGAACUAGCCUCUUAGCCUCCUCCCUAGGUUUAAUUUUUGACUAAGAUAAGCUAUUUGAGGAGACAGAUCCAAGGACAAAUUGCUACAAGUGAAAACAGACCCCAGACCCUAGGGAGUUCUUAAUGAAAAAUCUCGAUCUUCAUAUUGCAUAGAAUUACCACCUUCCUUGCUCACUGUCCAGCGAGCACUUUUCUCAGAGAGGGUGUUUAGGCAAGAAGUGGAGUUAUCCAUUGUCUCAUGUAUUUUUUUCACAGAAAGAGAUGACAUGGCUCUAUUGAGAUCCUUUUCCACUUCGUUAACAACUUAAUCUUUUCCUACAAAUUAGUAAAUCUUCAUUAGGUAAACUGAGAUGCCUGUUCUGCAGCAGAGGAUUUGUCUGUGCUUGUAAUCUGUGGAAGAUGUAUUCUAGCAUCCAAAUAGUUCCCCUUUUUUUGUAAGAAGAGAAGCUCAGGGAAUACGCAUGCCCGUUAGCCAUAUUUACAGUGGCUUUCACCUGCUCUUCUGCAUCACCACUGCUCUGUGGUGUUCUCCACAGGGAAGGAAUUUCAACUGUAGAGAGGUGACCUUAUGUAUCGUUAUUAAUUAACACUUCCACAUAGAAGUCAGCAACUCUAUCAAAGGCAUGCAGGGAGCCUGCUACUCAAGAUGUGCUACAGGCAGCCAAAACUCUGUCCAAAUGUGGGCAGUUCUUGCUUACAGCUUCUGCCAGGCUAAGCAGAAGAACAUGUAUAUGUCAGUCUCUAAGACAAAGGAUUAUUUCUGAGGAUAUUAAUGGAAAAGUUAUAUUGCCAGAAUAUGUAAUCUCCUGGCAUGUCUAAAUAGGGGAAAGUUCUUUUUUUUUUAAAAAAAAAACAUCUGAAGGACUCAGAAGAUUACAUUUUCUCUCAGAUAUUUUUUAGUUGCUCUGUCAGUCUAUGUGGUUAUCUCUUAACAUUAGAAAACUCAGAAAAAUAUGGGAUUGCUUUACAAUGUUGCUUGAGUUUAUAUGCAGUUCUGUCACAUAAGUCAGGCUCUAGAGGGAUCAGCUAACUUAGAAAUGAUCUCAAGGCUGCAGCAAGAACAUAACUACUUAUUUUUCAGUAUAACUGUUCUUUGAACCUUCAGCUUGAUCACAUAGCAUGGAUUUAUAACCUCCUUGAUGCUAAACCAGCAUUUUCAAUAUCGUCUGGAGGAGGGCCAUGGAUCUGCCUGCUAUGGGAUUAUCAAAUUAGCUUUCUGAUAAAUAGUAGGCAGUUAGACUGCCAAUAGUCUAAAGUAAUACUCAGGGAACAAAAUAAACUAUCUGUAGAAAAAAAAUCUUUUCCUUUAUUUCGUAAUAAUAAAUAACAAAAUACUGGUGUUCAAUAUCAACACUUGUGGAAGUAAGGCCUUGUACAUAAAGAUAAAAAGUUCUCUGGCAUAUAAAGAAAAAAAGAAAAAGAAAAAUACUCUUGCUGUUUCAAAUACUUUUUCCCCAUAUUCAGUAUCACUGUUGCAUGGCAAGAGGACUGGAUGAGCUGCUCUAGAUGGUGUAACCAGCUGGCAACUGGCAUUAGGUUCCUCUGUAUUAAGGAGCCAUUUGAUCUCCCUCAUGUUUUCUUCUGGGAAUUGAUUUUCCUCUAACCUUCUCUCACUCAGGGCUCUUCAGAGGCUUUCUUUGGAGAUGCUUGGCUUUGCUGCUUCUGGGGGCUUGACAACACAGGUGAAAUCCAAACUCGAGUACCUGAACCUAAGGACCAAGAAGGAAAGGGUGGUGCUACAGCCAUUAUUGCAUUGAGUCUAUUGGAUAUAGGUGGCCUCUGUGUCCCUUGGGUGGUGUAAGUGGCAUCUUAAGGAGAUGCUUCCUUCAGGCAGAGACAGGAGCCCUGUGCUACAAGACGUCCUUCACCCCUUGAGGGAGAAACACGCUCCCUAAAUGGAGGCUACGUCUGUUCUGCGGUGCCUCCCAGAUACUCGGCGUUCUCCAGUCUUGGAGGCUCAAUGUUGGCUCAAUUGUUCAAUCAAUGCUUGGGCAAUUUUAGACUCUGGCUGCACUAAGUCUUUUUACUUAAUGUAUAUUUAGACUAGGGAACAGUGCUGUUUUUCUUAUGGAAACAAUCUUGCUGAAUGACAGUAAGUGGUACCUAUUAAUUUAGCCUUUCCAACCUGUAAAACGUAUCACAAAUGGGAGGAAAAAUGCUUCCAGUGAGCUUUUCAAUUCCUUCAGAGGAGAAACAAGUUUGUGGUUAACAUAUAUAUGAUCCUGAACCCUGUGAGUUUGGCAUUUACUAGCUUUCUGCCCAUGAGGGAACCACAAAAGUACAUGUAGUGACUCCUCUUAUGGAAAUGUCAUCUCCUUCACCCUCCAAGAGUCAAAAAUGUUUCCAUUUAUGAAAAACAGACCAUCAAGUGGUGUGGUGGAACUUACCACCACAAAUGAAGAUCUUUGAUGAAAUCACAUGGAUAGGUUUGUUCAAACUGUACAGUAUAUAAUUUGCCUGUUCCACACAUGGAAAUGAAAGAAAUCAGUGUCAGAUGACCCUUGCAGGCUGGUGUGUGUUGUAUUGUUUAUUUAAACCGAUCAAGGAUGCUUAGGAUCUGUUGCACAGCUUAAUUCUUGCUGGAAAUGCAAAAUGGGAGAUAAAUAAUUAAGUAGUUGAAUAGUAAAAACAAUUUUUGCCUUUUUUUUUUUCUCUGCUUGCAGGAUGUAAUUAGGAGUAAAUGUUUCCACUGGGACUUAUUGACUGUAACUGUAAACUGUUUGCACUGACGGUGCUAAGUCCCAUCUAGAACAGAUCUGUUCAGUCUGAAGCCACUGUCCUAUUGGGAGAUCUUGCCCAAAAAGCUUUUUCUCAUUCAUACUAAUUUUAAAGCAAUCAUUUAAAUUACUCCCGUUGUACUGUUUUCCACAGAGCCUCUUAGAGUAAAGCAGCAUCAUUUUACUUCGUGAAAAUCCAUGAAAGUUUUUUCUCCUCAGCUUACAGCCAGGCAGGCUGGGAAGCUUUUUUCUUGGGGUUCAGGAUCUCAUGGAGAGAGGAAAUCUGCAAAAUCUCUCACAAUUCCCUGCAUUCAGUGCUGUGAGUAUUGCCACGUCGUUUAAUCCUACAGGUUAAUUUUUGCAAUUCAGUGUUUACACACCUUCAGCUAUCAGAUUGUAGCUGAUCUUCACCUGCAUACCACUCAAGACAGGUAAGUUUCUUAAACUAAUAAUAACUAAUAAACUAAUAAUAUUUUAAUAAUAAUAAUAUUCUAAUAAGAAUAUUUUAUAUAAUAUUAUAUAUAUAAUAUAAUCUAAUAUAAACUAAUAUUAGAACACAUCUUAUAGAGGGAAUGCAUAGAAUGUUAUUAGAGAAAAAACUUAAGGUAGAACAGAUGCUAAUGAAGCUUCAUCAAACCGCUAAUAUAAUUUAGCAACACAAGUGGAUUUUAGUGACCAAACAUAUUAAAAAAAAAAUUCAGAAAAAGCAUUUAAUACAUAAUCUUGAUAAAGUACCAGUGGUGAGUUAGGCUCUGUAAGUAAACGUGGGAAAUGCACCACUGAAUUUUAGCUUCAGUGGAAAUUUACAUAGCUGAUAGCAACAUAAUAAUAAAUGUACUUAAUUCCUUUUUUUUAAGUUGCUACUUGCUACUUAUUUCUUCAAUGCAUAUUAUUUUUUUUUUUCCUGUCAGUUACUAGGCAGAAUGUACCAACACCAAAAACUUAUCUGCGUACUUCAUUCCACUUUUGAUGGGUAACUUUCAGGAAGCAAUGGUUCCUUAGCAGUCCUUUGGGAACUUUUCUACUUUUGCUUUUAUUUUGUGAAGGUAACAGACAUAAAAUAUGGGUCCCUUGGACAAAUGUGUUUUAUUCAAAUUAGAGAAAAUUAAAAGGCAGUUUUCUAAUUCUACCUUGAAGUGUUUCUUAAACGUCCAUGAAGCUUUGUUAACAAGUAGUUCUUUACCAACUAAGCAUCAAAAACAGUGAAAGCAAGUCAGUCUCAGCUUCUCCCCAGUCGUGAACUGAAUGAGUCGGGAUAAGAAUUAUCUCAGGCUAAGCAGAUAUUAGGCAAAAGGCUUUGGACUAAUAUUAAAUUUUUAAAAAGACUAUAACCAUUGAAUCCAUAAGGGCAAGUGAGUUCAGGUAGUAUCAGUUAUGGCUUGUCUCUGUGUUUAAGACACAAACUGGAUGUAAGAGGAACCGAAAGCAGGUCUGGAUCCCACAUUGCUGAAUGGCAAAUCUUGAAACAGGAAUAACUGCUUACCUUCUAAAUGGCAAUAUGCUGCAAGACUUGUCUGCUGAAAAUAUGGUGAGAACAGUUCCUAGGGGACGUAUAAUGAAACCACAAUAAAUCUGAAGCACAGGAGACUGAACAGAAAAAGAAACACCCUCUGUGUACACUAGAACAGUUACUUUAUUAUGAUAAACUGGAGCUGUAGCAGAGCUGUGAACUUUGUCAAACAAGGCACCCCACAAGCCUUGAGAUUUCGCCACUGCUUUUCAGUAUACUGUGCUUCAAUCAAGUGAAUAAAGGCUUAGAUGGAGGGGGCAGCAAGGCAGCGCCGUGACAACACAGCACUGUGCCCCACCAAGGCAGCAGGAGAUACAGACUUCCGGAAGGGCAGGAAUGGCUGGGAAUGCUGUUGUGAACAAAUGAUCCCCUGUAGCUCUGUGCUUCAGCAUCUCUGAUGGAUGUAUUGGCAAGCCGACUGCCACCAAUGUUAUCAAACAUUUCUGUACAGACAAAGAAGAACAAAAAAUAGCGCUCUCAUUUCUUGUUACAUGUCCAUAGCCAUUCCUGCCCAGAUUAAUGAAGUCAUCGUUAAUUUAGAAAAGCGUGUCUCGUAUAUCUCUUUAUAUAAACGCUGCCUCAGAGGUGACAUUUCAGUGCACCACCUGCCUGAGAGCCUCCCACUGUGUUAACCGAAGACAUGGGUGGUCUCCAGACACCAACUGCAGUCGUGCAGCCAAAGCAGCUGACACUGCACCUCUAGCUGUGCUUAUAGGGACUUGGAAACAGAUAAGGCUAUAUUAGUAAGUAAAGACUGUAGUGAAGCUAACUUAAAGUAGCUUUUAAUCGUUGCUAAUUAAAAUCUGCAGUUGAGAUCCUUAACUUUUUUUUUUUUUUUUUUUUUUUUUUUUUUCUGUUUCAUGAAUACUUCUGCAGCUUUGGGUGCAAUCCAAUCCCAUUGACUUAAAAAUCUGGCUGGAGAAUGCCACUUUUGCUGACAGUCAGAGAGGCUACCUGACACAAGAGGAAUCCAAAACUCAACAGGGGCUUCCUAGACUAACUUAACACUCCCACUGAACUCACACAAGCCUCCUGCAUGUAGCACAGGCAUUGAAGAGUCAGCAGGCACUGUGCAUCCAGCUCCAGCAUGAGAUGAUAUGACCACAGUUUUUUCUUCUUUACCAGGAUCAAAGCACUGCUGUCACAGCUCAAGUGCUCCUAUAGCCAGAGUGGAGAUGAGCCUCCAAGCAAAAUAAUCUGCAGCCUCGGGGGACCUUUGGACUUGGCACUUGAGCUUCACUCCAUAAGCAUCUCUUUUGCCAGCAUGUCUGAGCUAGAAAUAGCAAACAUGGACAUGACAGCCGAGGAAAAUGAGAGCAGAAUGAAGAUGUAUCUGUCACAGAUCUGCAAAUCUGCCUAGGGUGGGAAAAAAGCUAUGAUAGAAUAUGAGAACAGAGAGAUUUCAAGUGGUUCAGCUGCCUGGGAUGCUCCUGGAUUCCAUACGUGUUGUCACCAGUCCAAGAGACUCCUGCAGAAUACAGACUGGAAAUAUAAGAAUGGAAUCAGCAUUUAGGUGCCAAAUGACUCAUGCUAAAAUUCUGUCAUCUGCAAAGGUAUUGCUCAUUUUUAUACCUGCAAAAGCCUGAAGACAAAAAUAGAGGUAAGAAUUUGUGAAUCCACUGAGAAAUGAGACAGUUGUAAACAGAGACACCAAAAUUAUUCUAUUUUUACAGAAAAUACUGUUUACUCUCUCCAAUAUUUCCUUAUAGCUCCUGGGUGCUAGCUGAGGACAUGAGUCAUAUCCUUGCGUGCCCUCUCAAGGAUUGUGCUGGGCCUCACCAGUGUCCUCUAGCCAGCGGACAAAGACAUGCAUUCAAAAGCUGGACUUUCCCUUUGGUACCACGAGUUACCAGAAUAACUCCUUAGAAAAGUAACUUUAGCAAAUUGUCAGAGUUCUGAAGACUUACACUCUUUUCACUGUACCUGAGAUGACUGCCUGCUUCUUACUAAAAUGUGCAGCAAAGAAAUUAUUUUACAUAUUAUGUGUAUGUAUUUUCUUGGCAUAUUCACAAACACAUCUGACAUUCUCCUUUACAAAUUUGUGAUCUGGCUCUGAUGAUUGGCUGUGGUAGAUAUUAAAAUAUAAAGGAGAAAUAUUUAGAAACAAGGUUUCUGAGAACAGGCCAGUAGAAAAGUCAAUGACUGAGAUUCAGCUAAAGGCAUUUGAACAAAUUACGUAACAAAAUAAGGUAUAGAAGGAGAGAUAUAUAAAUCUGGGAAAUUCUUAUUAAGACAGUGAAGAAAGGCUGUUAUUGGCUUUUGUUUUUGUGCUCUUAGAAAGACUUUUCCCUUCAGAUUCCAUAGCCCAUGUCCCCACACCAACUUAUUUUUUGUGUUAUACCUUAGGCAACAGGAAACUUUUCUGAGGCCUCUCAAUAUUACUCUAGUCUUAAUUGUGGGGUUUUAGUCCCAAUGCUGACAUUCGUUUUCUAUGAGCAUGAGUAAGCAAUUCAAGUGUAUCUGAUUCGAAGUUCAGCAAACUAUAAACUGAUGAAUAUUAUCUUUGUUGUCAUUACAGAGAGAUUAUCACACUUUCAGUUUAGUGGAAAAUAUUGUCAUAUUUAUAGUAAAGACAUAAGAACUCUUCUGCUCUUUUAUUUAAGAUCACAUGGAUCAGAAAAUUUACUAAAGAGCAUCCAAGACCACCUGUUUCGCUGUCAGCUUUUUCACUUAUAUGUGAGUCUUCUACAAUUUUACUUUGUUAUUUGAAGUCUGGUCUGCCAAGUUAUUUUCUUUCUUAUUUAGCCGUUUGCCUCCAAUAUGCUGACCUGAACUUCAACAUGUAUUUUUUCUGCACCAUUGAGUGCACUAGACUCAGGAACCAGUGCAUCACCUUUUACACAAAUAUCUUUAUUCCCUCCUAACCCUUUUCUGUUUUGGCAUUAGCACAUAGUGUUAUCACAAAGUUAUGAAAGGUUAAUCACAUAUGACAAUACAAGUAUCAAGCAGAAAUAUUAACUAGAUUAUUGUCUGCUCAUGCGUACACUAAUUAUAUAUAACAUGGAGACCUUUUACAUAAUAGUUAUGCUUCACUAGUGCCUGUUCAGCAUUGCAGAGAAGUGAAGAGAAAAUACUUUUCAGAGUGGUGGAUUUCUUAUGACAGAUUUUAGGUUGUCAUGCCCUCUGUCAUGAUGCCUCAACAACUUCAGAGAGGUUGCCCAUCCUUUAGAGAUCCAGCAACAGAAGUGAUGACAGAUUUUUGAAACUUUAUAAACACUUUUUGUGCUCCAAAGCAGCCUGGAAAACAGUUGCUGCACAGGGGGGUUACUGAGUGCCACUGGGCUGUGCUGGCAGCCUGGCUGGGUUGGACAGACCCGGUGAGUGAGGAUUCAGACUGUGUGCUUGGGGUGAAAAGAGCACAAAUACUUUGUUCAGGUAUAGUCAAGGCAGUGGGUUUGAACCCCAUCAGAUCUAGGGACUUAAAGGCAAAUUGGCUUAAUCAUGAGUUUAGUGACUCAGAGUACCGAAGUGGCGGGGAAUCCAUGUUUCAGAAAAUACUGGUCUAGGAGUAGUUUGUAAAUAAGUCAGGAUAAAAAUUUAGUUGUGAAGUAAGGAAGUGUCUUGAGGUUUCACUAUGACAUUGAUUCCUGAGGCAAAGAUGGUGUCCAGAAGGAGCAAAACCAGCAGCCUGGUGAUUUCUGUACAGGCAGACAUGUUACAGAGAUCAAAGCAAGAAAGCAAUAAUAACAACCAAAUGGUACUAUUCUGUGUAUCUUUGUACAUUACACUUAGAAACAAAAGCUUCUUUUGGCAUUCCAGAUUCAAUAUACUCCUUGGAGUUGCUUGAUUUUGAUUAUUUUUUCUUUCUUUUUUUUUUUUUUUUUGUAAGCAAGUUGUUUAGGCACUGAAGGGAAGAUGUAUGCUUAGCUAUUUAAAUAUAUUGUCAAUGUUUGUUUUUAAAGGAGUUGUCAAGACACUUAUAUUCCUUUAAAAUACUUUUUAGUCUAAACAGCUGCCACAUGCAUUCAAUUUUAACAGCUUUUCAUAUUGGUGUCUCAAAAGGCAGCAAAGUAUAUUUUUGAAGUACAUUUUUAUUAGUUAGUUAACUGAAGUCCCUUCUCAUGUUUACAUGUGUAUAGCACCAGCAGUAUAUUGUUUUGCUAUACUUGAAAAAGUAGGGUUUGGAAGGGUAUUGACAGUGAUAACCUAUGAACACUAUCAGCUCAUAUGACUAGUAUUGCAGGAGGUAAUGCUGGAGAAGAUGUGCAGUAGUAGCUUAUGGAGUGGCUCUGAGCAAUGCAGGAAAUAUGCAAGUGUUUGAAAUGAUUUUGUUCUUCUUGCUUUCAGUCAGGAUGCUGUCAUAUAGAAA